UAUAUAGUUUCUGAAAAACCAACUACGAAAUCGAUUUCCCAAUCGAUUUUGUAAAGUUAUAAAAGGUGCUAAAUCGAUUUGCCAAUCGAUUAUCGCGAUCUUGGUUUUCUUUAAUCUUGAAACUAUACAAGCUAAUCGAUUUACCAAUCGAUUCUUUAAAAGCAACACUUUUCAGUAGAACAUGUCCAGACUUGUAUAAAUCGAUUUCCUAAUCGAUUUCUGGGAAACUGUUUCAAUAAAAGUAAUUUCAAUCGAUUACUCAAUCGAUUUGCCAAAUCUCAGAGUCGAUGUAUAAAAACACAGAGUCGAUUUGGUCACAAUCUCAGAGUUCACUGUGUUUUCAAAAAGUUUAUUUCAAUCGAUUUGCCAAUCGAUUGUUUUCAAAACAGUGG
rnacentral:lncRNA from 1 species